rnacentral:rRNA from 1 species
UACGUAGGGUGCAAGCGUUGUCCGGAAUUAUUGGGCGUAAAGAGCUCGUAGGCGGUUUGUCGCGUCUGCUGUGAAAACCCGAGGCUCAACCUCGGGCCUGCAGUGGGUACGGGCAGACUAGAGUGCGGUAGGGGAGACUGGAAUUCCUGGUGUAGCAGUGAAAUGCGUAGAUAUCAGGAGGAAUACCGAUGGCGAAGGCAGGUCUCUGGGCUGACACUGACGCUCAUGCACGAAAGCGUGGGGAGCAAACAGG